UUCACCUUUUACUUUUCAUUUUCACGUGAACCUUCGUUGUCCGAUUCGUAUCGAGUGGAGGUAAUUCGUAGAAUCAGACAUCAUAGUACCUUGAGGUGUUGUUAGGUCAGAAAGGGGAUUCGAAUCUGCUUGAAUACUGGUUCUGUUUGGACUCGGCGCAACAAAUUCCGUAGCUUAUAUCGGAGGAACUUGUUCACUUUGCACUUUGUAUUUUUUGAAUUCAGACAUUUCUGAUUGUCGAUGAUUGAUUUUCUAUCUUCGGAGAAGCAAAAAUAAUGGAAGUAAAUUGUCUUGUUCGUCACUGUUUGGAUUGAGUCUUAGCAUUGAGCGAAUAUCUGGAGGCCAAAUUUGUUCAGAUUGCAAGAAUAUUGCCUAUAAUAAUCACUUUGAUUACCCACUUUGAGGCAUGCCGAUGUCCUUUGGAAUCCUUACGGAUUUUGCAUCCGGAGAUGCAUUGAGCUUUAGUACUUGCCAUCUCGGGUUCAAGUUGCAAUGGUCGACAUGAUUGAAUGUAUAAAUUUUAAUAAAAGUGCUCUGAAUUCAUGUUUCUAUGCUAGGAUUGUUGUGUUUCAAUUGUCGUACGAGCAAAUUUAGCGAUAUCCUCUUGUGUACUGUUAUUUAUCUAAUUUUUUGCUAUGAAUUUCUCCUAGCACAUUUGAGGUUUCUGAUGAGUUUGCAUUGUGUGCAUGAACACGUAGUGCUGAAACAGGAAUUAUUUCCCAUGCUAGAGGUUGGAGUUACACGACAUUUAUCUAUAUUCUUAGAGAACACGAAAAAUAUCAUGAAACUCUUAUGAGGUUUUUUGUCCUUCAGUUUUAUUGCAUGAUAUAUUCUCUAUUGUGACAGAGUUAGGAUAUUCUGAGCUAGUUAUAUUCUACCUCAAUCUUUGUCUAUUUUGUGUCGAUUUCAAUUUUUCAUAUGCAGAUUGGUUUAGCAUCAGCUUAUAGACCUUAUUUAGUGAAUGUCUGGGCAAACUAUUGUAUGAAAUCAAACACAUGGUAAAAAUACUGCUGGCCAAGAGUCUCGGGAGAAAGAAAACAACGGGGACAUAAAGGGCUGCUAGCAAAGGAAAGACGAAAGGCGCAAAAAGAAUGGGGAGCUAGUCCAAUUCCAUUUAUCAGCGAAUGAACGAAAGGAUUGAUUUGAUUGGACAGACAGAUAAAGAAUUAACGAAAAGAACUGAACUGAAAAUUGCUGUCACAGAGUUGUAUCUGAUUUUGAAAAUCAACGGAUGAGUUGUGGUUAGGGGUGAAAUGCCGCUCGAACUUAGACCAAGUUGGUUCUCCCGAAAAUGGGUUGAGGCACAGUAGUUGAUGUCUUUGACCUUUUCACAACUGGGCAGACGUCAGGCACUUCGUAAGGAAAUGGAAAUCAGACACUCACUUCAGUAUAUAGGAGCUUUCUUUUUGUGUGGGUUUACAUCACUUCACCGAGUGAGGAAACAUUAUAAAGCUUUUCUACCACACCCAUCAAUCAUAUGUAGUCUCUGUCUUCUUCUGCGCAUUUCACGUCGGAGACCAACUAUAAUGCAUAGUUUUUGGGAAUACCAGAUUUGCGGAAUAAUGCAUUGAGCUUCAUCUUGCUUCAUGUGUGAGAACUGUCACGGCUAUAUAAUGGCAGACCUUCAGCAUGUCGCCGACUUCGCUUGAUGAAAAGCAUCACAUAGGGGUUCUUGCUGGGAAGACAGCGAAGCUAAUGGACGGAAUUUUGAUGCUAUCUGAAACAUAGCAAAAAAAAGGGGUAAAGAAAACCAAACAGUUUCCAGCCGAUUCUUGUCCCAAAUUCGCGUUAUCUGUGGAGGGGCCUUAUGGCCGUGAAUCUGCAUACAACUUACUGUAUGUUCUUCAAUGGGUGAGAACCGUACAAGCAAUGGGAGACACAUAAACCUUCCCUUGGCAGCAGGUAUAACACUGAUUUCUUUGAUCAUCCUGGCCAAAAAAAAAACGGCCAAGCCCUCUCUUCUCUCGAGGAUCAAGCGCUAUGCACCAUUGAUAUCUACUACGUCACGUGACAGUUAGAGCCAGCCGCGCCUUGAGAAGGUGACAUAUAGAAAUUCGGCGUAACUCCAAGGUCUUGUGGUUGUUCUCUGGCAUGUUUGGGGUCAGAAGACAUUCGAGAGGGAAGCAGGUGGCAAUGAGAAGGUGACAUUGAAAUGGACAAAACUGCAACGGAUCUGCGCGCAGAACGCAAAGGCGUCUUCGAAAAGAGUCUGAUCUAGAAGAUUUCAACACUACCCUUUAUGAAACGAGACAUGAUUUCAAAGGUACAAACCUUUUGUUGCCUUGAUUCUUUUUCUGAACCCAUCAAACGCAUUGCGUUAACGAUGCGUUGCAAUUCACAGCCACACAAAAAGGAUUCUCCACU